rnacentral:lncRNA from 1 species
AGUGCAUGCAUCUCUUCUGGGAACAGCAUAACGUUCCAUCUCAGCUGGUGGGAGAUGAAUGGAGCUCAGAUGGUGAGCUUUGGGGUGAAAUUUCCCAACUUUCAGGUUAUCCCUACCUACCAACGCACUACAAUCUGGACUCAGGAUUACCAUCUCUCAGCUGGGGCCAUUUGCAUUAUUCAUUUAAAUGAGACAAAGGAUUUCCAUUUCCAGUGUGGCUGACCAGCUCCCAUAUGAUCAACGCUACCACAGGUAACAACUAUAAACUCUGGGGA